UACGGAGUGUGCAAGCGUUACUCGGAAUCACUGGGCAUAAAGCGCGCGUAGGCGGGUUUUCAAGUCGGUUGUGAAAUCCCUCAGCUCAACUGAGGAACUGCAUCCGAUACUGUCUGUCUUGAGGACGAGAGGGGAAAGUGGAACUUCUGGUGGAGCGGUGAAAUGCGUAGAUAUCAGAAGGAACGCCGGUGGCGAAAGCGACUUUCUGGCUCGUAUCUGACGCUGAGGAGCGAAAGCGUGGGGAGCGAACAGG
rnacentral:rRNA from 1 species